GAUGGAAUUGUUGAGUCAUAUGGUGACUCUGUGUUUAACUUUCUGAGAAACUUCCAAACUGUUUUCCAGAGUCACUGUACCAUUUUGUACUCCCACCAGCAAU
rnacentral:pre_miRNA from 1 species